rnacentral:rRNA from 1 species
CUACGGGGUGCACCAGUCGAGAAUCUUCCGCAAUGGGCGCAAGCCUGACGGAGCAAUGCCGCGUGAGGGAUGACGGCCCUAGGGUUGUAAACCUCUGUCAGAAGGGACGAAGAACGUGACGGUACCUUCAGAGGAAGCCAUGGCUAACUACGUGCCAGCAGCCGCGGUAAUACGUAGAUGGCGAGCGUUAUUCGGAUUUACUGGGCGUAAAGGGUCCGUAGGGGGUCUGCCAAGUCUGAUGUGAAAUCCUGCGGCUCAACCGCGGAACUGCAUUGGAAACUGGCGGACUAGAGUGUGCGUGGGGUGAGCGGAAUUCCUGGUGUAGCGGUGGAAUGCGUAGAUAUCAGGAAGAACACCGAUGGCGAAGGCGGCUCACUGGCGCAUCACUGACCCUGAGGGACGAAAGCGUGGGUAGCAAACAGGAUUAGAUACCCGGGUAGUC